rnacentral:rRNA from 1 species
GGACCCGCACAAGUAGUGGAGCAUGUGGUUUAAUUCGAAGAUACGCGCAGAACCUUACCAACACUUGACAUGUUCGUCGCGACUUUAAGAGAUUAAAGUUUUCGGUUCGGCCGGACGAAACACAGGUGCUGCAUGGCUGUCGUCAGCUCGUGUCGUGAGAUGUUGGGUUAAGUCCCGCAACGAGCGCAACCCUCACUUUUAGUUGCCAUCAUUUAGUUGGGCACUCUGAAAGAACUGCCAGUGAUAAGCUGGAGGAAGGUGGGGAUGACGUCAAGUCCUCAUGGCCCUUACGUGUUGGGCUACACACGUGCUACAAUGGUAUCUACAACAGGAAGCGAAACAGCGAUGUUAAGCAAAUCCUUAAAAGAUACCUCAGUUCGGAUUGCACUCUGCAACUCGAGUGCAUGAAGCUGGAAUUACUAGUAAUCG